GAUGAACGCUAGCGAUAGGCCUAACACAUGCAAGUCGAGGGGCAGCACAUGAGUAGCAAUACGAUGGUGGCGACCGGCGCACGGGUGAGUAACACGUAUGCAACCUACCUCUAACAGGGGGAUAACCCGUUGAAAGACGGACUAAUACCCCAUAAUACAGGGGCUCCGCAUGGAGAUAUUUGUUAAAGAUUUUAUCGGUUAGAGAUGGGCAUGCGUUCCAUUAGCUAGUUGGUGAGGUAACGGCUCACCAAGGCGACGAUGGAUAGGGGAACUGAGAGGUUUAUCCCCCACACUGGAACUGAGACACGGUCCAGACUCCUACGGGAGGCAGCAGUGAGGAGUAUUGGUCAAUGGGAGGCAACUCUGAACCAGCCAAGUCGCGUGAAGGAUGAAGGUCUUAUGGAUUGUAAACUUCUUUUGCAGGGGAAUAAAUAGCGGUACGUGUACCGUUUUGCAUGUACCCUGCGAAUAAGGAUCGGCUAACUCCGUG
rnacentral:rRNA from 1 species